rnacentral:rRNA from 1 species
GACGAACGCUGGCGGCGUGCUUAACACAUGCAAGUCGAACGGAAAGGCCCUGCUUUUGUGGGGUGCUCGAGUGGCGAACGGGUGAGUAACACGUGAGUAACCUGCCCUUGACUUUGGGAGAACUUCAGGAAACUGGGGCUAAUACCGGAUAGGAGCUCCUGCUGCAUGGUGGGGGUUGGAAAGUUUCGGCGGUUGGGGAUGGACUCGCGGCUUAUCAGCUUGUUGGUGGGGUAGUGGCUGACCAAGGCUUUGACGGGUAGCCGGCCUGAGAGGGUGACCGGCCACAUUGGGACUGAGAUAGGGCCCAGACUCCUACGGGAGGCAGUAGUGGGGAAUAUGGCACAAUGGGCGGAAGCCUGAUGCAGCAACGCCGCGUGCGGGAUGACGGCCUUCGGGUUGUAAACCGCUUUCGCCUGUGCCGAAGCGUGAGUGACGGUAAUGGGUAAAGAAGCACCGGCUAACUACGUG